CUAAUACGUGGAGCCUUGACGGUACCAGCGGAAUAAGCACCGGCUAACUCUGUGCCAGCAGCCGCGGUAAUACAGAGGGUGCUAGCGUUAAUCGGAUUUACUGGGCGUAAAGCGUGUGUAGGCGGUUCGUUAAGUCGGAUGUGAAAGCCCUGGGCUCAACCUAGGAAUUGCAUUCGAUACUGGCGGGCUAGAGUACGGUAGAGGGCGGCGGAAUUCCGGGUGUAGCGGUGAAAUGCGUAGAUAUCCGGAGGAACACCGAUGGCGAAGGCAACCGCCUGGGCCUGUACUGACGCUGAGACACGAAAGCGUGGGGAGCAAACAGGAUUAGAUACCCUGGUAGUCCACGCCGUAAACGAUGAGAACUUGACGUCGGUUUGCUCUGCGAAUCGGUGUCGUAGCUAACGCGCUAAGUUCUCCGCCUGGGGAGUACGGCCGCAAGGUUGAAACUCAA
rnacentral:rRNA from 1 species